rnacentral:rRNA from 1 species
GACGAACGCUGGCGGCGUGCUUAACACAUGCAAGUCGAACGGAAAGGCCCUGCUUUUGUGGGGUGCUCGAGUGGCGAACGGGUGAGUAACACGUGAGUAACCUGCCCUUGACUUUGGGAUAACUUCAGGAAACUGGGGCUAAUACCGGAUAGGAGCUCCUGCUGCAUGGUGGGGGAUGGAAAGUUUCGGCGGUUGGGGAUUGACUCGCGGCUUAUCAGCUUGUUGGUGGGGUAGUGGCUUACCAAGGCUUUGACGGGUAGCCGGCCUGAGAGGGUGACCGGCCACGUUGGGACUGAGAUACGGCCCAGACUCCUACAGGAGGCAACAGUGGGGAAUGGUGCACAAUGGACGGAAGCCAGAUGCAGCAACGCCGCGUGCGGGAUGACGGCCUUCGGGUUGUAAGCCGCUUUCGCCUGUGACGAAACGUGAGUGACGGUAAUGGAUAAAGAAGCAACGGCUAACUACGUG